rnacentral:rRNA from 1 species
UACGGGGGGGGCAAGCGUUGUUCGGAAUUACUGGGCGUAAAGGGCUCGUAGGUGGCCAACUAAGUCAGACGUGAAAUCCCUCGGCUUAACCGGGGAACUGCGUCUGAUACUGGAUGGCUUGAGUUUGGGAGAGGGAUGCGGAAUUCCAGGUGUAGCGGUGAAAUGCGUAGAUAUCUGGAGGAACACCGGAGGCGAAGGCGGCUUGCUGGGCUCGGUCUGACGCUGAGGCGCGAAAGCGUGGGGAGCGAACAGG